GCUUUCAACAUCCCCGUCUCAGAGGCGAAUUGACGGUAUCGGCACCAGGCCGAUGGCAGACGACCUCAUGAGACUGAAGGC
rnacentral:sRNA from 1 species